GGGGAAUAUUGCACAAUGGGCGAAAGCCUGAUGCAGCAACGCCGCGUGAGCGAUGAAGGCCUUCGGGUCGUAAAGCUCUGUCCUCAAGGAAGAUAAUGACGGUACUUGAGGAGGAAGCCCCGGCUAACUACGUGCCAGCAGCCGCGGUAAUACGUAGGGGGCUAGCGUUAUCCGGAAUUACUGGGCGUAAAGGGUGCGUAGGUGGUUUCUUAAGUCAGAGGUGAAAGGCUACGGCUCAACCGUAGUAAGCCUUUGAAACUGGGAAACUUGAGUGCAGGAGAGGAGAGUGGAAUUCCUAGUGUAGCGGUGAAAUGCGUAGAUAUUAGGAGGAACACCAGUUGCGAAGGCGGCUCUCUGGACUGUAACUGACACUGAGGCACGAAAGCGUGGGGAGCAAACA
rnacentral:rRNA from 1 species